CCCUUAGAGUUUGAUCCUGGCUCAGGACGAACGCUGGCGGCGUGCCUAAUACAUGCAAGUCGAACGAAACUUUCUUACACCGAAUGCUUGCAUUCACCGUAAGAAGUUGAGUGGCGGACGGGUGAGUAACACGUGGGUAACCUGCCUAAAAGAAGGGGAUAACACUUGGAAACAGGUGCUAAUACCGUAUAUCUGUAAGGUUCGCAUGAUUCUUAGAUGAAAGAUGGUUCUGCUAUCGCUUUUAGAUGGACCCGCGGCGUAUUAACUAGUUGGUGGGGUAACGGCCUACCAAGGUGAUGAUACGUAGCCGAACUGAGAGGUUGAUCGGCCACAUUGGGACUGAGACACGGCCCAAACUCCUACGGGAGGCAGCAGUAGGGAAUCUUCCACAAUGGACGCAAGUCUGAUGGAGCAACGCCGCGUGAGUGAAGAAGGUCUUCGGAUCGUAAAACUCUGUUGUUAGAGAAGAACACGAGUGAGAG
rnacentral:rRNA from 1 species